UUACACUGUAGUCACUUUUGCAAUAGUUACUUCAUAGAAAGGAUUCAGUGUGAGCUUAAGGAAUUACUCCCUUACCAGUCGUGUUCCUGUACUGCCCGUUUUGCCUGGGUAAUGGUUUGAAAAGUAAUCCUGUAACAAGAUUCCUGAAAUUCCCUCAGAAAUAUUCACACUCCUCUCCCAUCCUAUUUAUUUUUAUUUUACUUUUUAUCUGCUUGCUUCGUGGCCCCACAAAAGGCUGCUUGGUUCAAGGAUAUCGAGGAGGAGGGAGCUGGGAGCAGUGUUGCUGUUGAAUUGCUGUGUAGGAGCUUUGCCUAAGGCCCUGCUGAUAAUUAACAGGUUUGUGACGGUCCAGUGACCAGAUCUUGAAGGGAAGGAUGACAAGAUAGGAAGAAUAAUGGUGUGAUGGUGUGGAAAGGGAGAGAACUGGGCAGCUGCUGCUGCUCCUGCAGUUCUGCUUGUUUUCAGAACUGGCAGACUGGUUAAGAUGUCAUUUGGAAGCUGGUCAGAAGGAGGCAGAGAGUACACAGAGCUGGGUGUUUGGGUGCAGAAAAAGAAGGGUGUAUUCUGGUGCAAACACAGCUCAGUGAAAAAUAAACUGUUCGUGUGGGGGAUUUCACUGUAACAAUGUCCAAUAUCUAUGUAUUAAGCAAAGCUAUUUGGCUAGUCCACGUCGAUUGCUGUUGAUGACAGCAAAACAGAAGGAAUGAUCUAUGUUUUCACUUGCUGUCUUGAGCCUUGCACACACUUAGCUAACAUUAAUGCUAAUGGCUGUUUAAUACUCUAUAUGGAAUGUGCAGGGGAAGCUUUCACCAUGGCGAGUCACUGACAGAUGUUUACAUUGUAAAAGCCUCCAUUUCAAACAGCUUCCCUGCUCACAACCAGCUCCCGGGAGAGGCAAAGGGCUUUGUAAGUUUGGAGAUCAGUUUCCUCUUCUUUCUUUCUCUGUCCGCCUAUCAAAAUGUUGAUGCAUGCAGAUGGUUUGGGGAUCUACCAACAGCAGUAUAAUUCCUGACAUACAGGUUUUAAAAAGGAUUGGGUUUUGUACAUCUGUCCCUUCACAGGCAGUACCGUUUCUUAAAGGACAGCAGUACCGUUUCUUAAUGGACAAUAGAUGACAUCUGCUGAACUGGCUGUCCUGCUUGUGUUCUGACUACGUUAUUUUAACCAGUGCGUGACCUGGCAGGAAACAGUGACUUUGCAUUCUGAAGUUUUACCUUUGGUCACUUCAACUUGCUUCUUUUUAGCUGUCAGCUGUCUGUUUUAGAGCACAGUGAGCCUCAGAAUGCUUGUCUAGAGGAAAAAGAGGGGAAAAAAAGCCCACAUCCUGAGACUUGGACUUGACAAUUUCUAAAAUAUUUACAGAGAACAGAAAAUCCAAUUACAUCAAAGCCGCCUGACGGGCAGGCAGCAGCACACGAUGCUCAGCUAACGAGGGGUUUUGAUGGCUUGGAACAUUUCCCGGUUGGGCUCCCUGGGCUGGGAGGGUUUAGCAGUUGGCAGAGGUGAGAUCUGUAUGCUGGCAUCUGAUCCAAGAGCUUGGGUCAAUCUGGCGGCACAAAAGACUCCAUUCCUGUGUUGGCUGGAGAGACAGCACACUGCUUGUGCAUUGCUGUAAAGGUCACUAAGAUGCCAGCUCUUUCCCCGAACUAUUUAUCAGAUUUCUGUUGUUCUGCUAUUUGCCUAAUGUUUAUUGUCUAAUAUAUUGUGUUCUCCCUCGAUGUGUAGUAUGGUCUGAAGAGCUGAAGCUGGUAACUUGGCUUCAUCUUGUUGGAUACUGAGCGGUUUUCCAGGAAACUUCAGCGUGAUGACAUCAGUAGAGCAAGAACAGCAGCAUGCAGAUAUGAAUCUUCUUUACCCUGGUUGGUCUGGGUCCACAGUGGAACCAAGAAGGAGGCAACGUUCGCGUGGACUGAGCGGGCUGUCAGUCUGGUGGACCUGAGUGAUCUGGAAUGCAGGCGACUUCCGAACUGGCCCGGAUCAUGCAGUUCGUGCCUUCUGUAAGUUCAGUUGUCUCAUAUGCUGAAAUAUCUGUUUAAUGUGGGGAAAAUCAGGCAUUAUUCUGAAAAAUAGCCCUUCCUAUGUUAGUGUAAAUUCAAGCUGACCUGGAUAACUGCUGGAUUCUGCUGCUGCUGCUGAUUGUUGCAAGAGGAGAAGCUGUGUAUGGAGGUGGACUUUAAUGUUUCCUCAGCUCGCUAGGACAGCUUUUAAUAGGCAGGCAGGAAGGUGACUCCAGCUAACCACUGUUCUGCAGAGGAUGUCACACUGCAACUCAGACAAUUAGAUAAGGCUGCAGGAUUCUGUUGAAUGUUCACUUCCCUUACCAAAAUGUUGGGCUCUAAGAAGUUUUAAGGACCUUCCACCCAGUAACACUCCAUCCCUGGAAAUAUCUGAGUUUUUGCAAAAGGGACUGAACUCUUCCCGUGCUGUUCUUUGAUUUCAGCUUUUGUUCUUGCUACCUCUAUUGUCUGAAAAGAGCGAAUAGGAAGCAGGUUGGUUUGAUCUCCCUUUGUGCUGUGAUCUACCAUCCGUGCCAUCAAUCCAGAGGUUUUAAAGGGCAGAAGGAAGAAUGGGCACCAUCUGGCCUUACUUGGGUGUCGAGACACACACAGGGGCUAACCUCACCUGCUGCUGGGCUCUUGGCCUUGGGAAGGAAACUCCCAAAGCUCCUGGGCAUGGCCUGAAGGGAAAUGUUGCUUGCUGCAGGUGAGGCUGCUCUUCAUCUCCCCUGCCCUGAGGGAAGGGAAAAGCGUGUGUCCUAUUUCUAACCCUGGAUUACUCGUAGUGCCAGCCCUGUGAUGGCUGCAUUUUCACUAGGAUGCUAGGGAGAGGAAUUGAGUGGUUCUGUGGGAUGUUGCCAGUGGAGCUUUCACUGAGAUGGAAGUGUCCUGAUGAGGACUUCAAAGACAAAUGGCAGCUGGUGAGGGGAGGAGGCGAGCUCUUAAUCCCAUUAUGCUGUAAAAGCAGGGCAACAGCAACUCCAUUUUGUGAAAGGCCGGAUGGUGUUAAGUCUUUCAGCGUACAUCUGUCAGAAAAAAAGCCCUCGUGCUUCGGGCUGAGGACUGCCUAAUGAGCGUGUGGAACCUGAUUAGCAGAGGAAGAGCUAAAUGCUGAACUGGUCUUACCAGUGCAGCUCCGAGCGCACGCAGAAAGGCAGUGUAAGGUGUCAGAGCAGUUCCAGGAAGAAAAGAGAAGUGUCCCAGGGAGUCUGUGUGCUCCGGGAUCAGCGUCAACUGGAGAAAGGAAUUUUCCAGGACUUUAGGUGCUUGAAUUUUACUUCAGCACUUUUAUUAUCUCUGCCCCUCAACCCAAACUAAGGGAACAUCUCGUUCCCCACUGCUGUGGGCAGCCACCAGCAGCACUCGCCUUCCUCUGUUUGUUCCAUGCGCUGAUACAGAUCUAGUGCUGUGCAGUGUACACAGUCAUUCUUCGGGCUAGUUUUGGCACGUUACAUGCAGCUUUUUGCUGUUUUAUUGCGGAAUCUGAUUGACACAACGCUGGGAUGUCUGUGGAAAUGUCUGCAGUGUCGCUCUGGGAGAUUCCGUAAUUCCGCAAGGCAGAGAACUUGUUAAAGCAGGCUCGGGGUGCUUUGGGAGCUUGGCCUUGUUUUCUGAGAGGCCAGCUGCGGUUUGCAGGCAUCGUCUGAUGGGCUGGAGACUGAGUCAAUGCUGCAGCCAUUUCCUUCUGGUUUUCUUUUUGAUCCGUGAAACGCCUGGGAGCUGUGUUGAAGAGCAGCACGGUUUUGGCAAGCAGUCUGUACCCAGUCAGUGCUGCCUGGCAGAGGCUGAGAUUUCCAGCACCUGCCGGUUGUUUGUGAGCACGGGGGGGUGGAUUCUCGUGUUAGGAGUUCAGCGAAGGUACAAAGCCUCAUGGUGAUGUCCUGAGAAACAGCGAGUUUGUUCUUCUAGGGGCGGAAAGGACACACAUUGCAGUGAGCUCAGGGGUGGUGGGAGCUUUUUCUUUUGUGCCCCUCUUUUGCUUGGUGAAGGUUGGUCUCAAACCUCGACUGAAGGUCUCUGCUAGUGCUCGAGUCCUGCAGGAGGGCAAUGAUAAGAUAAACUGACUUUUAAGUUACAAAUUCUGUCUGGGGUGUCGUGCCUCACUGAAUGCAGGGCAGGGCAGGAACAGGCGCGAGACCAAAGCGUCGCUGUUUUGCAAUCACAAUGCACUGGAGCUGUGUGACUUGGUUCUGGAUGCAUGAGCUGGUUGCAGCUUGAUUGUUAGCCUCUGAUGUUAUCUCACCCCAAUAGUAAAGCAGUGUUCUUUGCCUGCCUCGGUAGGAAAAAUUGACUCUGCCACCUGCAAAAAUAGCAUGGGUUUAUAGCAGCCCAGGCUUAUCAGGUCUGGGGAUUUUGUUGUUGUUUCUGAAGUCUAUUUCAGUUGAUUAUGGCAGCUCAGUCUCAGAGAAACACUGAGCUGGACACCCCAAGCAGCUCUUGGAGGCUGGCCAUUGCUGAAGAGCAAGACUACAGAAUUUUACUUCUCUUAAAGCUGGUGAUGUCAGCAAAAUCCUGUGUUAUUCCUAGGAUUAUGUGCAAGUGGGAGUUCGUACAGCCUCCAGAAGAACUAAUUAAAAGGGAAGUUUCUGGGUGCUCUCAUGAUUUUGCGCAUUCCCUUCAAGCUGCUCCAGGAGGCUGAUGAAGAUAACUCUUACCAUAUGAAUUCGGGUCCCUCUCUCUCUAUUUAAACACACAGCAGGGGCCUUGACCUUGUUAGGCAGGCAGCUGAGCCUGCUAAACCCAUGUCAGAAGGCUUCUGAGCACUCUGAGCUUGGUGACUACUGAUCUUGCAGGGUUUCUUCAGCAGCAGUAGAGCUGACCUACAUUUUCCAUGUCAGCCCCUGGUCGCCGCUCUCGGUGCUGCCCCACUUAGCUUAGAGCUUUCUGUGCAGCGUCCCGCGGGCUUUGCUGAGCCUCAGCUCUGGGCUGCAGUUAACUGCUUCUGAGGUGUUUGUGGCUGAUAGCAGAACCUGAGGCCAUGACUGCAGUUAGAUUGGUUCCCUUCGGUAUUGAUUGUGCAUCUUUGGUUUGGGCAUCGAAUGACACAGCAGCAGGCUUGUGUUAGAUUGCUGGGGACAGAAGUCAGCCGGUGGUGGGGAAGGUGUGUGGUGCUCUGGUGGAGUUUGGUUUAGAGCAGCUGAAUCGUUGGGGAUGAAAUGUUCUAAAACUGUCUUCAGGUGCUCAGGGCUCUGCAGGCUGAGCAGAGGGUGGGAUGCUCUUCUUCAUUCUGCGGCUUCUGUGGGCUCGGCCCGUAGAUUUUCCUGAGGCUCUUUUUCAGAGCUGAGGUUGUGAAACAAAUGAGCUUUCUCCUCUACCAAGUGCUUUCCUCAUUUCUCACCCACCAGCCUGGGGGUGGCUGUGGGUUCAGAUCUUACGCAGUCACAUUCACCUGGCUGUGAGCUGGGGCUGUUUUCUGCCUCCUGUCCUGGAGCUUGAUGUAAUUUGCCCGUAAUUCCUGAGGGUGCUGGGAACCAUUUCUCUUCCCUCCGCAGCUGUCAGAGUGGGGCCCAUCCAUGCAGUGCUUUGGAGCCAGGGCUGUGCAGCGAGGUGAGGAGGAGGAGGGGGGCGAUGAAGCUGUUUAUCUCAGCAUCUCUUACCCCACAUGCUCUCGCACUUGAGUACCUAGCAACCCACUGAGCUUCACAAAGUUUUCUCUGUGUGGCUCUACUCCAGAAGUGCUGCUUGCAGUUCAUCUGGGGACUAGUUAUGCUUGCAGAUCAUAACUAAAAAAAAAUGUUUAAAGCUAAGUUAAGGGUUUGGUCUCAGUUCACUCCCCAGUGCUGUGCUGUCAAUGCAGAAAUGCCGAAACCAUCCUCGCACCGUGGCAGCAGUACGGAGUAGAAGCUGAAGCUGUUUUCUGAACAACGAAUUAAUAUAAUUGUCAACAGCACCGAUACCAAACGUACAGACUGGCAAGUAUUUAUGAAAGUAGAAAAGAGGGCAUCAGCUCAGCUGGGCAGCAGGAGUAACUUUUACAGGCUGUUGCUACACCGUGUGUGUGUGUUCUGAGAAACUGGACUUCAGCUGCCUGUAGUCGAUAAAGAGAGCUUUGUUUUUCUUACCAUUUCCUGAACACCAGCCUAGAGAUGUUUGCUAAUGGGGCAGUUUCUUCCCUAACGGGCUGAACAAAUGAUUUUAAUUGUUUAGCUCAGGUGUCUGCACAGUGUAAUGGACAGCUGCUGUUUGUUGGCCUGUGCUGGGAGCAGCUCCGGGAGGUUAUUUGGUGACAGUGCUGUUGGUGUGCGCAGGAGCCGGUCUAUAAAUAAGGUGGAGGGAAGAGCUGCAGCUGCAGAUAAAAGCUGUGCUGAACUCGGUUCUGACAGCCUUGGCCCAGAGGUUAGGAGCAGAGCUCAGCUUGCUGGGAACAACACUACCAUAGUAGGAAGCAGCCUUCUCCUCCAGCCCUAUGUAUUAAUGCAGCGCCGACCAUCAUAUAGCGGAGCUCAGCCGCGGAAUUCGGCUCUAGUAUUUUUAAACCUCGUGCUGUUGUGUUUGAAGGGGCUCAGACAUGUCACCUAAUUUGGAUAACGCUGUUUGCUGGCGCUGUGCUGGUAUCAUGGGCUAGUUGGAGAGGCAUUACAGUUAAUUUAAAACGCAUUACUCCCCUUUGAAGUUGGCUGAAGUUGCAGAGUUAGAGAGGCUCUGCUUGUGCCCUUACUUCCCUCCUCUUACUCCAAACAAAACGUAGUUUAUAGGAGUCAGAGCAGAGCAUUACAGGACACUUGGCUAACCCAGCUUUUACCCUUCGGAGUGCUUUAGCCUUGCCUAACACUGUAACGAGGGCUCUGAUGCUGUGACCUGGUGGGACCUGCACUGCUGCAGCAUGCUUACCGGCAGAAUUGCCUAAGUCUUGAGGAAGGGAAUAAGCCAUGACUAACAAAAGCAGCUGUAAGCAGGCUGGUCAUGGCUUGUAGCAAAUGCACUCUUGGUUAAUCUUCCUUCUGCCUAUGGAAGGUGGAAGGGGCCAGCAGCUACUGAGGGCUGGGGCAAUUUAGGAAAUAGAAAAGGACAAAAAAUAGAGAUGUAGUUGGGAAAGAAAUGUUUAUUUUAAGUUUCUCAGAGGGAUUUACAAACAAUGGAGCAUUUUAAAAAAAAUUGAGUGAUCAAAGUACUUGACAGUGUCCCUUAAACACACACACAAGCCCCUGGACAGAGGAAGUCACACCAGCGAGGAGGUCAAUACUGCUGGAAGAGCAGCUGGCAUCUGCAUAGUUCUAGAAGGAAAGAUUGCAAUGCUGUUGGUGCAAAUAUGUGUCAUCCUGGCAUUAAUAUAAGAGCACGCUGAAGUAUGUACGCAUGUACCUGCGGAAAACAAAGUGCAUAAAAUAACACACAAAGUAUGUAUUGUAGAAUAAAUUUAUUUACCUGAUACAAAUGAAACUAGGUGUGAUGCUUCUUACUGUCAGCAUGUAAAUAGACAACUGAUCUUAUUUACAACUUCUAAAGGUCAUACAUGCAGUUGUGGUAACUGGCUAAAUCAUUUGCUGCUUUCUAAAUAAAUGCAUCACAAUAUUUUGUAUUGCACCAACAUCUGUCUUACUGCCUUAAAUUUAAAUAAGUUACAUUACAGUGCAAAACAGGUUGAUUUGCACACAUGAUAAAAAAAUCCAAAGGUAUGAAUUGGAGGCUUACAGUUUAACAUUCAUCUGUAAUCUUUUCAAUGAGUUUUAUAAAUAGGAUAGCAUUGUACAUAAGCUGUUAUAGAGUAGUAUGUUUGGAUGAUACAAUACAGAGAUUUGUCUACAACCGAAGGCAUGCAGUUUUGAUAUUGUACAUUUUAUAAACUGACAUUUUACAUACAGGAAUAUGGAAAAUUGGCUGACAGCUCGGCGAUUCUUGUUCAAAGAUAAACAAACUCUUCUCCAUGCUGCACAGAACCCAAACUUCUCUGGAGAGAGUUUCCAAUUCUGUAACUAUAUUGCACAUUUGUACAUCUGAAGUCCUAAUGGUACCACACAUUUCUUCCACAGAGAACACAAUGAGUUUUGUUUUUAGGGAAAGCAAAGAAUCUUUACACAUGAUACAUGCAGAAGUUUUGGUAGAUGUGUUGCUAAAAACACAUGCACGCAACAAAACAACCUUACAUUUCUGCAAAAUUGUUUAGGAAGCGAUUACUCCAGUAUUGCUGAAAAGGAAAGAAAGAAAAGGAAACAGUUAAUAAAAGGAUGAAUGCAAAGUAUCAUUGUAAAAGCAAGACUAAGAUCAACAGUGACAGAAGAAAGAAUGUUAAGUCUGAUAACAACUGCUCUGUCAUUGAAGGGACACUCUCAGGUUACUUUGUUCUUAAAGCCCAGGACACUCUGGAUUAUGUCUCAGCUCUUCUGAAUUCAGCAGAGCUCCCUUUAUCAUCAAAGUCAGCACCUUCUCCAGAAGACCAUAAAUGAAGAUGAAUUGAGGUAUGUUUGGAUAGCGUUUGCAUUUCUUUGCCUGACUAGUGGUAAUAGUAAAAAGUAAAGGGAGACUCGUCUGUCUUUUAGCUUCUUAUAGUACCCAGUUUGAGCUAUUUUUUUCCCCUUUAAAAUAAAUAAUCUUGAAGAGUGUUCUUUUAAUUGAGGCAUUAUAGUGCAAGUUUGGCCCUGAAGUGACCUAACAAUGUCCCUUUUUUAAGUUACGCAGCUUAUUCUGGGAAGCAGUAGGAAAGCUCCGAAGAAGUCAUUAAACUACACAGAUUAAUGCGUAGGCAAAGGGUAGAGUACAGUAUAACUACUGGACUUUACCCCUAAAAUACAGCGAAAGGUUAGCCUUGGGUCUGGAAAAAGUGUACUCUGAUUGCCUAGAACUAAAGGGUGGCUCUUCAAAACAUUGCUUAACACUAAAAUUUAGGCUCUCCUGCUAGGAUUUGAGAAUGCAUAAUAUUAAUGCAAUUAAGGAUGUAAUUAGCAGAGAUUAGGGAAACAGUUAAUGGUUAGAAGUGCAAGAAGGUAAACAAGACAGGUGCAAGAGACAGACAAUUUUGUAUCAGUUUUUACCUCCCUUCAUCUCAGCAAAUUUAACCAUCUUUAAGCAGUUUACCACAUAUAGUCUGUGCAUCAGCUGUGUUCUUCGAACAGUGACAGAGGACUGCUGUACUGCAUUUUAUCAUCAGAUUAAGAACUCAUUUUCUUACCAUGAGCUUUCUCCAGAACGGCCUCUCUACAACCAUCAGCUUUGCAGCACUGUGAGAGACUGGGAUGUAUUUUUCUGCAGCUUCUUUCAUACUGAUUUAUUUGCGGUAAUGCUUUGAGAAACCAACCAUGGACUAAUUUUAGUGCCUGGAUACAGGCAAGAAGGAGCAGCUUGAGUUGUGCAGCUCAAAACCAGUACUUUGAAUCACUGCCAUUUGAAAGCUGAGAGCACCUGGGGCAUGACAAAGAUAAAAGCCCUUGUCUCCAUGUUGCUGGCAUAUGACUGCAGCUGCCUGACCAUCCUCUUUGCUCUGCUUUGGACCAGCCCACAGAACACUGAAUUCAGGAGGCACUGCUGUCAUAGCAAAACCCACUGGUUUCCCAGCAUAAGCUGGGAUCCCUCCUGGUGUUUCUCACAUAUGGUACCAUCAGUCACAAUCAACAUUUAAUCUUACACACCCCUCACGUGCUAGAAAACAAGCAAGGUGUGAGGAAUUCAGAAGACCAGAGAGAUGAAGCUCAGUGAGAUGAGAGCAAAGGGAAACAAAAGGAAUGAAGUUAUCUUCUUAAAGUUGAGAUGGGAAAUAAAACCUGAAAGCCCACAGCAGAGCAAUUUUAGUGCUGGGUGCUUGACCACAGGGGAAGAAGCACAUGGUAAGUCUUAAUGUUUGGCCAGUCCAGACCACACCAGGCUGGCCUGCAUCUUAUAGUGGCAACACCUGGAGAACAGAAGUACUGAAGUAUAACAGCAGUUGUCACUGAACCAACAAUAAUGAAGUACUGAUCAUAGGGAACCCUAUUGCUCCAUUUCUGCAAAGAGGUCUAGACAGCAAGACCAGGAGACAUCUAAAAAUAAUAAAGAAAAGCAAGGUAGGUUAAGAUCGCUUGGGCUCUUUAAGCAAACCCUACAAAACCAGGCUCCUGAGGUUGCAGAAGUAGUCAGGAGGGAUAAAUGCCACUCCAUUCGCCCACCAACAGCCUAGCUUUCAAAGGUAAACUCCAAGAAACAGAAGGCUCCUACUGCAAGUGAGACCCUGAGAUAACUGAUAGAAGUGAGCCCUCAGCAAGAUUUGUCUUCAGCAUACACAACUGAGUGUGCCAGACAAAGAUUCAACAGAACGUGUCAAAGACUGAAUUUUAAUUUAUCCAUUUUCCCCUUCAGUGUCUUAGAGAUGGGGAGAAAGGUGUUGUAUACAAGAAUUAUUUUGUGUAAUAGACAGGAAAAGAACUGUACAAGAAUUGCUCUCAACUACUGCCACAUACAUGGCUUAGAAAAGCACAGCUCUGGAGGUUUACACAGAGCCAUUGCUCAAAGAUUCAGUGGCUAUUCCUGCCCCCUUGAAAAAAAUCUGGCCACAAUUCUAUUGUUUCCAACAAAUGACAAUGGACGUGGAUAUAUUUUGAUCUCAAGGAAUUCUAAAUUACAUGACCUGUAAGUUUCCUGUUUGAAGAAACAGGAGCAAGCCUUAAAAUGCUCAGUUAGUAUUCAGACAGCAUCUGACUGGUGCUGGCCAUCGGUUUUGUGGUAUGCAAAACAUCCAGGUUGGCAAAGACAGGUUCCUCCUUACACAGAGGGCAUUCAAGCGAGUUCAACGCUUACAGCUCUACAAAAAAUCUCUUACAUCAUUUCUAUCUCCCCCUACCUGAGUCACUUCUGCAUCAGUUAAAGUAUAUCAAUGUUUACAUAAACAGGGAGUAUUCGCAAUGCAGUGGACUUUCAAAUCAGGUCUGUAUUCUGAGGCUGGCAUGUAUAUCUGAAAGCUUGAAACCUAAAGGAUUAAUCUGUGCUCACUGGAUUCCAGCUGGCUCUAAAAGAGCAGAGAGGAAAAUGGUAGUUAAAAGCUAUGAGGAGUAAGAAAGCUGUUUGAAUUUGGUUAUUAAAGCAGAUUUCAAGCCAACACAAGAUAACACAGCACCUGCUACUCAACAAAGGCAUUAUGACCCUCGUACAAUUUUCAAAGACUAUCCUGUGAAGCCAAGACUGUUCUUUUGUCUUUUUGUAUGACCACUGUUCAAAGUGUUUCCAUUCAUUGGAAACAAUAAGCUGCUUUUGCAAAGAGGAGCAGAGAAGCACCUGCGCAUUGAGCACUGUGUGGAUUAUUCCUAGAGAAGGGCUGGUGUGCUCAGAGGAGGACAAAACCUCAGAGUAAACCAGCACCUGACCAUGAGUACUAGUGUUCUGCACACUAAACAUUCAUAUAAACACCUGUCAUUGUCUUAAGUUACAGAUUUAUCCAAUUUUAUCUUGAACUUAAGACAAAGCUGUAGGAUCUUGGGGUACACUAAGGCUCCUGGCUGCUCUAAAACAAGCUCUAAAAUGCACUAAAACAAAAGCAAGCGCUUUACCUUCAGAAUCAGUAAUUUCAGCUUCACACCAUAAAACGAGAGUCUAAAGUGGUGAUAAUAAUGUAGCACAGCAGAAUUUGACAAAACACAGCAUGGGAAUGAAGGAAAUUACUAUUUAUUCUUCAACAUGUAUACAGCAUAUGCUAUUUUACAGCAAGUCACCACUGGCAUGGUGAAAUGGAAGAGAAAUACUCACUUUAGUCGAUGAAAGUUGGAAGGCAUUGGAGAAAAACACCACAGUUAGGACUGUUAAUGACUUACACGUUGUUGAUACAGGACUGAAUUUGAAAACAUGCUUUAACAUUUACCGUAAUAAUGAAGGUGGUUAGUGCCACAUUAAAAUAAAAAUAGUUCUAUACAAUAUGUUCAAUUUGGUCAUGUGCUAUUUACAGAUUUUACAAAACACACACACGAGCUUGUUACUUCAAGUCAGGCUAACAACAGGCCAGCAGAGUAACUCCAUGUAUACAACUUAGCAUUAGUGCCCUAAGUGUAGGAAAUCCAAUUUCUAGCUAUGCAGUGCAAGUUAUUUUUCCAGGUCUCAUUACAAGUUUUGAUCUUAAAGGGGGAAGAAAAAAAAAA